ensembl:lncRNA
UUUUUUUUCUCAGAAGAUAUGUUUUCCCCCUGGCUUUAUUGAGAUAUAAUUGCCAUAAGACAUUGAUAAAUUUCUGUACAAUGUGAUGAUUUUAAUACACAUAGUUGACUCAAUAAGGUUAGUUAACUCAUUUCAUAACCUCAUCUAAUUAUAUUUGUGUGUGUGUGUGGUGAGAACAUUUAAGAUCUAUUCUCUUUGCAACUUUCAAGUAUACAUCAGUUAACUAAAGGCACCAUGCUUAAUAUUAGAUCCCAAGAACUUAUUCCUUUUAUAACUGGGAGUUUGUACCCUUUGACAAAAAUUUCCCCAUUUCCCCGUCACUGUCAACCACUCUUCUACUCUCUGCUUCUAUGAAUUUGGCUUUUUCUUUCUAAGAUUCCACAUAAAAGGGGGAUCAUGCAGUAUUUGUCUUUCUAUUUCACUGAGCAUAAUGUCCUCAAGAUCCAUCCAUGUUGUCACAAAUAUCAGGAUUUCCUUUUUAUGAUGACUAAUAUUCAUAUAUACAUACAUAUAUAUUCACAUGUAACUAAAUAUGUGAUAUACAUCCCAUUUUCACAUACAUAUCACAUUUUUAAUCUAUUUAUCUAUAUAAAUGUAGGACCACACGGUAGGUUGAUUGUUAAUUUGUAAAGGAAACCUCAUAUUGUUUUCCAUAAUGGCUGUAACAAGUUACUUACAUUUCUCCUCCCACCCCCAGAGGUUCCCUUUUCCCCACAUCCUCACCAGCACGUUCUCUCUCGUCUUUUUACAAGAGCCAUUCUUACAGGUAUGAGGUGCUAUCUUACUGUGGUUUUGAUUUGUAUUUCCCUGAUGAUUAGUGAUUUUGAACAUCUUUUCAGGUACCUGUUGGCUACCUGAAAGUCUUUUUUUUUAAAUGUCUGUUUAGAUCCUCUGCCCUUUUUAAAAAAGAUUGUUCAUUUUUUGGCUGUUGAGUUGUAUGAAAUCUUCUGCUUUGGAUAUUAAACUCUUAUUUGAUAUGUCAUCACAAAUAGUUUUUAAAUUCUCAAUGAACUUAAGUGAGUCAUUGAUGAUCCCAAGUUAACCAGGUUUUGCUACCCCAAUGUGCUGAGGCAAAAAGGAAAUUUGGAUCUCAGAGCCUUUUGCCUUUAAGAAUUGCAAUUAUAGACUUGUACUAACUCUACACAUGGAAACACAAUAUAUUAUCAUAUACUUAUAAUAAUGAAUUAUACCCUUUUAUUUAUUCAUGGGCUUCACUAUAAAUGAAGUACAGUUUUGUUGUUAGUCACAGUGUUCAAUGAAUAAAAUCUAGGGAUAACACUACACAUUUGACCCUCACUACAUACGAGUAUUUGCUAGUAAAGUGCCUCAUUGUUGAGCUGUUUCUGGAGUUGUGUGCAUUUCCUAGAAGCAGCUCACACAGAUAAUUCAGAAAAGAGAACUCACUGGAUCAAGUGAAGAUGCUCUAUCACAUGUUAUGUGAAGUAUUCAUUCAAUAUUUAACUAUUGUCUCCAAUAUCAUUGCUUGCAUUGCUUCUAGAUGUUUCCCACAUUCCCUCUUUGCUGCUGAUUUUGGGUUAUUAAUUAUUUAAAUCUUUUACAUAUGUUUGUUUUAGCUUUUGAUAUUUGCCUCUUUUCAUUUUCUCUUUUCUCUUUUCAUUUUCUCUUUUCUCUUUUCUUUUUCUAUUCCCUUACCAGCUAUGUUCACUAGAUGUUCAAUCCAGCUAAUAACCCAUCUAACUCUUCUGAUAUUUCCUAAGAAUUUUUUGUUUGUUUUAUAUUCUCAAAGUCCUUACAUACUAAAACUUUUAAGCAUUGAAACAUACAAACACGGGGAAGAAUCAAGAUGGCAGAGGAGUACGAAGCUGCACUCACCUACUCCAACAAACACAUAAAAAAACCACAUCUCCAUAUAGAAUGAUUCGCACAGAGCAUCUACUGAAAGCUGGCAGAGGAACUUAAACCUCCAGAAAGGGCAAGAAACCCUAUACAUAAAAUGGCAGAACAAAAUAAAAAAAGAGAGUGAGAGAGAAAAGGAAUCUAGAUGGGACUAGUGCUCUGAGAGGAAGCUGUGAAAGAGAAAAAGAACCCACACACUGGGAAGCCACCUAACUGAUGGGGAGAUCAGCUGAGAUGGAGGGACCCCAACGUCACUGAGAAAAGUGCGGCAGCUAGACUGCAGAGGGCAAAGCAGAGUAAGAGCUGCAGAGAUCAUCUGUACCACCACCCCGGACAUCACAGCCUGAAACUCUUCGGCAGAGACUGGGUGUUGAGAUUCAGGCUCCAGAGGUCAGUUGCAGGGAGAGGACUAUAGCUGGCUGUGUGGAGACAGUCUCAGGGGCUAGGGAGAAAUGCACCAUUGGCUAGGGAGCAGAACUCUGCAGCUGAGGGAACUGGGAAGGAGGUCUGAGCCAGCAGGAGAAGCAAGGCAUCAUUGUCGGGGAAGGCGAAAAGAAGAGGGGUGGACUGCCAUAAGAAUCUCUUUCCCUGUGCAUGCAUGCAUGCAUGUGCAUUCUCAGAGGGCAGGGCACCCCUGGCAUAAGCUACAAGUGGUGAGAGUCCCCAUGUUCAGGCUACAGGAGACAGGUUGCCUCUUGUGCAGGCUACGGAUGGCUGGGCACCUCUUGUUUGAGCUAAGGGAAGCAGGGACAUGGUGCCUUUUGUGUGAUCUACAGGCACUGGAAACAAAGCAGUCAUCUCGGAAACCAGAGGGGAGCAUGGCCCGCCACCUCUAGGGGUCUGUGAACAGGCUACACCUGUGGCCCCAGUCACCUCAGAGGUUGGCAAAAAAAAGAGGGCACUGCAACAGAGCACCAUCCACUGAAGAUCUCAUUCCCCUGAGAACACACCCACCCUGCUGCUGCCACUGCCAAACACUCCGGGCAGCGCCCACACAUACCUGAUCACUGUCACUUCCCAGGACCCUGCAGCCUGUGUGGCAAUUCCUUCAUGGGCUAAGCAGUACAGGGUGCUUCUUGCAUGGUCUACAGGUAAUGAGGGCAAACCACCAAAGUUAUCUCUGACUCCAGAGGUAGUCAUGACCCGCCAUCACUAGGGGUCCGUCAGUAUGCACAACUUGCAGACCCAGUCACCUCAGAGGGCACCAGAGAGGAGCGCAUUGCAACUGAACACCAUGCAUUGUUGCUCUCACUCCCCUGGAAACUCCUAUACCCUGCCACUUCCACUACCACUGCCAAAUGCUCUGGACACUGCCUAAAUCUGCCUGAGGCUCAUUACCACUUCCCAAGCCCUGCCCCUAGGAGUAGCAUGCACUAUCUUGCUAUUGUCAAGAGCCCAGCAACCAAACACUAACUACUGCCCACUGCUUCCUCCCUGCAAACACUCAGUACCCUAUCAAGGGGAUAUAGUGUUCAC